UUGAAUUAUUUAGGAGAUUGGGGAAUAAUUAGAAAUUAAUAGUAAUAAGGGAGGUUUUAAUGAAAAAGGGGGAGUUAUAGUUUUGGGAGUAAAAGGAAAGAAUAAGGAUAAAGUCAGAAACGGUUUAACGUGAAAACAAGUUGAGAGGAGAAAAAGCUAAGGCAAGGAGAGAAGACCAAGAGAGAAGAACUUAGGAACGGAUUUGCUGUGCUUUUUGUCUCUGCAAUUCUAAGGUAAGGGUGAGAUUAUCUUUCAAUAAUCUAAUGUAUAAUUUCUGAAAAUUAAUCUAAUGGAAUAGUUCUUGGAGAUAAAAUAGAGAAUUAGGGUAUAAUGCUGAUUUUGAAAGAAAAGGUGUAAGAAUCAUGUUGAUGUAAAGUAGUUUGAUGUUUUGUAUGAUUUCUUAAUCUGUAAUGUUGCUAUGUUCAGAAUUGGAAUGAAAUUAGGGAUGAUUGAAUGAAUUGAGAAAGUUUUGUAUGAAUGUUGGAAUGAGUUGGAUUGAUGUUGUUAAUGCAUAAUUUGUGUUCCUUUCGGUGCCUAGUUGUGUAUAGGACCUGUAAACAUUGCUGGAAAACGUUUUGGGUGACCAGGGGAUUAAAAUUGGGUUUUUGGAGUGAAGAGAUGUCUGAAAUCGUAAGUUUUCAUCCUGCCCAGAUGAGUGAUCGCUUAAGCGAACAUCCCAUCGCUUAAGCGAGCGAUCAAGAUCGCUGCCUAGAAUUUGUUGAAGCCAGGUCGCUUGAGCGACCCGUGAGCGAGCCGUAAGCGAAGAACACUUUUAGAUACGACAUUGUGUUCGCUCAAGCGAACUGUGAGCGAACCGUGAGCGAGCGAGAACCUCAACCUUUUGUGUGCUGGUCGCUUAAGCGAGCUACCCUUCGCUUAAGCGAACUGAGCCUUAGUCAGCCUUUUUCUGAACCUUGCUUCGUGCACUAGGGGACCCUUUUGAGUAUUUUUAAAUGUUUCUUUUAGCUUGUAUAACUCUUGUAUAGGCAUCAAAUCCUACUUAAACACGAUGUUAAUUGAUUGGUUAAUUUUAUGAAUUUUGGAGAUGUUGAAGUACUUGAAUCAAGUGAAUAAACAUGUUGCAUUAAGGGGUGGUGAGUCAUAUAAGUACAUAUGCAUUUGUUGUUGAGUUGUAUGUAGAUAUACACAAGUGGAGUCGGUGCAUAAGCAUAAAAUGGUGAGGACCUCGGUCCUGGAACGCCUUGUCGUUCAAAGCGGUGGAACACUAUGUUGUUCAAAGCGGUGUUAAUGGGAGGACUCAUGUCCUGAUAAAAAGAAUGCUUUAACCAUUCUAUAACGGUGAGGGCCCCGGCCCUGAUAUGGUACCACAUGCAUAGUUGCAUUUGUUGAGGAGUCUUAGUGGAGUUGUCAUGUCCUGCAUGAGUCUUAGCGGUGGAGUCGAGUGGUUGCAUGAGUCGUUGUUGUUGGUUUUAGUACCAUUUGAUGUUGAUGUUGAUAAUGAUGACAUACUUAUAUAAUUGAAUGAAUUAUUAUGAUGAUAGGGUGUUAGAUUCAUUGAUGUUAUUAUAUAUUAAUAUUAUUGUUUGAGAAUCUCACCCCUUCUGCUUGAAAAUGUUGCCCUUCCUAUGGAUAACUUGCAGGUGAUCCUGAGUAGUAGGUGGUGGCUCAAAGUGUCUAGGGCUCUGAUACGU
rnacentral:lncRNA from 1 species